rnacentral:tRNA from 1 species
GCGCGGGUGGCGAAAUGGCAGACGCACUACCUUGAGGUGGUAGCGCCCGUAAGGGUAUGGAGGUUCAAGUCCUCUCCCGCGCACCA